AUUGAACGCUGGCGGCAUGCCUUACACAUGCAAGUCGAACGGCAGCAUGAUCUAGCUUGCUAGAUUGAUGGCGAGUGGCGAACGGGUGAGUAAUACAUCGGAACGUGCCCUGUAGUGGGGGAUAACUAGUCGAAAGAUUAGCUAAUACCGCAUACGACCUGAGGGUGAAAGUGGGGGACCGCAAGGCCUCAUGCUAUAGGAGCGGCCGAUGUCUGAUUAGCUAGUUGGUGAGGUAAAGGCUCACCAAGGCGACGAUCAGUAGCUGGUCUGAGAGGACGAUCAGCCACACUGGGACUGAGACACGGCCCAGACUCCUACGGGAGGCAGCAGUGGGGAAUUUUGGACAAUGGGGGCAACCCUGAUCCAGCAAUGCCGCGUGUGUGAAGAAGGCCUUCGGGUUGUAAAGCACUUUUGUCCGGAAAGAAAUCGCACUUACUAAUAUUAGGUGUGGAUGACGGUACCGGAAGAAUAAGGACCGGCUAACUACGUGCCAGCAGCCGCGGUAAUACGUAGGGUCCAAGCGUUAAUCGGAAUUACUGGGCGUAAAGCGUGCGCAGGCGGUUGUGCAAGACCGAUGUGAAAUCCCCGGGCUUAACCUGGGAAUUGCAUUGGUGACUGCACGGCUAGAGUGUGUCAGAGGGGGGUAGAAUUCCACGUGUAGCAGUGAAAUGCGUAGAGAUGUGGAGGAAUACCGAUGGCGAAGGCAGCCCCCUGGGAUAACACUGACGCUCAUGCACGAAAGCGUGGGGAGCAAACAGGAUUAGAUACCCUGGUAGUCCACGCCCUAAACGAUGUCAACUAGUUGUUGGGGAUUCAUUUCCUUAGUAACGUAGCUAACGCGUGAAGUUGACCGCCUGGGGAGUACGGUCGCAAGAUUAAAACUCAAAGGAAUUGACGGGGACCCGCACAAGCGGUGGAUGAUGUGGAUUAAUUCGAUGCAACGCGAAAAACCUUACCUACCCUUGACAUGCCACUAACGAAGCAGAGAUGCAUUAGGUGCUCGAAAGAGAAAGUGGACACAGGUGCUGCAUGGCUGUCGUCAGCUCGUGUCGUGAGAUGUCGGGUUAAGUCCCGCAGCGAGCGCAACCCUUGUCUCUAGUUGCUACGAAAGGGCACUCUAGAGAGACUGCCGGUGACAAACCGGAGGAAGGUGGGGAUGACGUCAAGUCCUCAUGGCCCUUAUGGGUAGGGCUUCACACGUCAUACAAUGGUGCAUACAGAGGGUUGCCAAGCCGCGAGGUGGAGCUAAUCCCAGAAAAUGCAUCGUAGUCCGGAUCGUAGUCUGCAACUCGACUACGUGAAGCUGGAAUCGCUAGUAAUCGCGGUUCAGCAUGCCGCGGUGAAUACGUUCCCGGGUCU
rnacentral:rRNA from 1 species